rfam:Candidatus Amesbacteria bacterium RIFOXYB1_FTLL_44_23 rifoxyb1_full_scaffold_5102, whole genome shotgun sequence.
UUUUUUGAGAGUUUGAUCCUGGCUCAGGAUGAACGCUGGCGGUGUGCCUUAAGCAUGCAAGUGGAACGGAUUUUAUUGUUUCGCAAGAAAUGAUGAAAUCAGUCGCGGACGGGUGAGUACAACGUAGGAAUCUGCCUAAAAGUGUGGAAUAACUCGCCGAAAGGCGGGCUAAUACCGCAUGUGAUCGCAAGAUUAAAGGGAAUAACUUCUCGCUUUUAGAGGAGCCUACGCCCUAUCAGCUUGUUGGUGGGGUAAUGGCCUACCAAGGCAAUGACGGGUAGCUGGACUGAGAGGUCGGUCAGCCACAAUAGCACUGAGAUACGGGCUAUACAUCUACGGAUGGCAGCAACUGGGAAUAUUGCGCAAUGGACGAAAGUCUGACGCAGCGACACCGCGUGAAGGAUGAAGGUCUUAGGAUCGUAAACUUCUUUUGACGAGAAAUCCCGCAAGGGAUACGGUACUCGUAGAAUAAGCACCUGCUAACCACGUGCCAGCAGCCGCGGUAAUACGUGGGGUGCAAGCGUUAUCCGGAUUUAUUGGGCGUAAAGAGUUCGUAGGCGUUUUUCUAAGUUUUGUUUGAAAGACUGAGGCUCAACCUCGGGACCGGACGAAAUACUAGAAGAAUCGAGUCAGUUAGGGGGUACUGGAACUGUUAGUGUAGCAGUGAAAUGCGUUGAUAUUAACAGGAACGCCAAGGGCGAAGGCAGGUACCUGGGACUGUACUGACGCUGAGGAACGAAAGCUAGGGGAGCGAAAGGGAUUAGAGACCCCUGUAGUCCUAGCCGUAAACAAUGCACGCUUGAUCCUUGCCUUUAUGGUGGGGGUUGGAGCUAACGCGUGAAGCGUGCCGCCUGGGGAGUACGACCGCAAGGUUAAAACUCAAAGGAAUUGACGGGGAGGCGCACAACCAGGGGAGCAUGUGGUUCAAUUCGAUACGAAGCGAAAAACCUUACCCAGAUUUGACAUACUAUCGUGUAUUUUUGUGGAAACACGAAGAAAUCCGCCCUUAAAAGUGGAUGAUAGUACAGCUGCUGCAUGGCUAGACCCGAGAGGGUUACGGCCAGCUUGACAGUAAUGUCAUUAAUUUUUAAACCAGCUCAUAUCGGUGAAGUCUUGAUUUCGGGUUUUAUUCGUGCCAGAAUAAUACUGUUGAAGAAACAAGAUAAUACCGAGGGAAGCACAGUUUUUACCUUUAAGACGUCUGAUGACUACUACAUUUUAGGUUUGUGGUUGGCAGACGGAUAUUGGAGGACAAGCUCAAUUGGAUUGACUUCGGUAACGGAUGAUUUGAUCGAACGAUUUAAAGAGUUUCUGAUUAACAAUUUUCCAGAAAGAACUAUAAAACAUGGAAAAUACUGCGUGUAUAUAAACAUGCGGGCGUUAGUUAGAAUAUUUAUGAAAUUUAAGUCGGGAGAUCUUGUCAUUCCCAAGAAAUUUAUUCCAGCAUAUUUUGCCGGGAGAAUUGAUGGAGACGGUCACGUUGACCGGAAACAUCGAUCCGGAAUAAGAAUUGCGUAUGGGGAUGAAUUUGAUGCCAGGAGAGACGAGAGUCUUUUGUUGGCAUACCAAGAAAAUUCAGUGAGUGUAUAUAGAUACAAAACAGCAAGAACUUGGGUUAUUUACCUGCGGAAAAACUUUUUGCAGGCUAUUUUACCAAAGUUAAGUUUGUAUUCUUGGAAACUAUUGCCCCGUAGAGACUGAUUCAAAGGUAUGUUGCAGUACCAAUGAUGAGACCCGCCAGUUUGGCGAGGUAACACGCUGGGGUCCCGCAAUGCGGGAUCAUGGUAUAGUCCACACCUUUAGUAAUAAAGGAUUUAUUGGUCGUCAGCUCGUGCCGUGGGGUGUCUGCUUAAGUGCAGAAACGAGCGCAACCCUUAUCCUGUGUUCAAUAGUCACGGGAAACUGCCUUAGCUCAGCUAAGGAGGAAGGAGGGGAUGACGUCAAGUCAGCAUGGCGCUUAUAUCUGGGGCCACACACAUCCUACAAUGGGAAGAAACAAUGGGUUGCCAAGCCGUAAGGCGGAGCUAAUCCCAUCAAAACUUCCCUCAGUUCAGAUCGAGGGCUGAAAUUCGUCCUCGUGAAGCCGGACUUGGUAGUAAUCGCGGAUCAGCAGGCCGCGGUGAAUACGUUCUCGCCUCUUGUACACACCGCCCAUCAAGCCAGCAAAGUCGGCAGUACCUGACAUCUCGAGUUUCUCGGGACAAGGGUAAGGUCGGCGAUGAGGGCUAAGUUGUAACAAGGUAUCCCUAGCCGAAGCUGGGGAUGGAUCACCUCCUUU